rnacentral:misc_RNA from 1 species
GAAAUGCGAUAAGUAAUGUGAAUUGCAGAAUUCCGUGAAUCAUCGAAUCUUUGAACGCACAUUGCGCCCCCUGGCAUUCCGGGGGGCAUGCCUGUCCGAGCGUCAUUUCAACCCUCAAGCUAUGCUUGGUGUUGGGCGUCUGUCCCGCCUCCGUGCGUGGACUCGCCCCAAAGUCAUUGGCAGCGAUCGUGCCAGCUUCUCGCGCAGCACAUUUGCGCUUCUCGAAGCUCUGGUGGAUCCGCAUCCAGGAAGCUCUUUCAUGACUUGACCUCGGAUCAGGUAGGGAUACCCGCUGAACUUAA